GCGGGGCUCCCCGCCGCUGCCGCGGUCCUUUCCCCCGCCGCCGCGGCGCCGGCUGCUGCGCCCUGCCGAGCUCCGAACACGUGCGGGAUGACUUGAAAGUAAGGCAUCCUUCACCUAUCUGAAGAGAGGAAAUAGUGGCAGGGGUCUGCAGUUUUCAGAUGCCUUCACCUGAAAAACCUGCCACCGUCAGGACCUCAGAUGUCUGACAACAGUGUGAGACCAGAUAGGUAAUGUAGUCCUUUUGUCAUGUAGGUCUUAAUUAAAUUAACACAGUUCAGAUGGGUGGAAAAACUUAAAAUUAUGUUUUAAAAAGUUAUGGAGAGUAUCAGAAUUUUAGAGAGAAUUCUUAGAAUCUAAAGUUCUAGAGCUCUGCUGUGUAAUAGCUACACUACAUGUGGCUAUCGAACAGCAGUGCACAAUAAACUUUCCACAUUGGUGGAAAUGUUUUCUGAGCUGUCCCAACAGCCAAACAUAGAUAUUGAGACUAAGACACUGAUUUUAUUUAACUUUCAUUAAUUUACAUAGUCUUGUAGGCUGUCGUUUGCCAACCCCUAUUCUACAGAAUGAAAUUCAGGCCUUGAGAGUUGAACAGCUCAUUAGUGACAGGUUCAGGCCCAUACCAAUAUGUCUCCCUGAAAAAUUCAAUGUUAUCAAUAGCUUUGCCUUAGAGGCUUGCACUCUUCUCAUCCUUUAGAGCACUAAGGUGACUGCAAUAAAUUAACCAGUAGUAAAAUAGUCCUUGUUCCUUGUGUUUGGGACUUGUUUAUGUGUACUUUUUGCAUGGGUUACUUUUAUGAUGGUGGCUUUCCAUUUAUUAUGUGCACCUAAGGGAAAGGUCCUAAGAAAGAAUAGCAGUCUUCAGUUUUCAACCUCAGUCCUAAAUAGUAAAAUAGAAAUGGUCCCUACGGAAAGAGGAAAAUUUUAUGUCAUGACUAGCCAUACGGUUUAAAAUCUGGGGUCUCAAAUUCUUCUGAGCAUGCAGGUUGCCUUCCUGAACACAGUAGGACUAUCCAUGUGCAGAGAGAGGUCCCUGGGUCAUUACUUGAUAAUUCAAUGAUGUUUGUGUCCCUGUAUUCAAUAUCCCAAGAGGUUUCAACAGCAUAAUCGUUCACAGUAAGAUAAUUUAAUGGGAUUUUCUACUUGAUAAAUGAAGUUAAUUAGUCACCUACUUAUCCCUGUUUACUUGAUUUUUUAAGCAAAGAAAUUUAUUUCCUGGUGAGUCUAAGAAGAUGAAUAAAACAUUUCAAAGUAGCUUUUUAUUCAUUCCUUCCCUUUCUCUAUCACCCAUUUUUCGCUGCUGCAAUGGAAACUGGAAAUUAGACUGGCAGGAUUACUUGUCUGUAAAUACCCAAGCUGCCAACUGCUAUAGGUAGCAGUUAGUAAACACAAAUGCCUCUUUUCAUUGUUUUGGCAAAGUUUCAGGUCCAAUGCCUGUACCAUAUUAAAAGGAGAAAUAUUAAAGGUAAGUAGAGAACCACAAUUAAUAAGGGCUACUCCUGGUACCUGUUCAUAAUUUCACUUCUUGCCGGGUUGAAAGAAACUAGUGUCAAUGGAGGUUUUUUACAUUGAUAUUUUGAAUUAUGUCUCAAAUUUCAAUCAGGAAAACAAAACCCAGAGGCAUAAAUUCUGCAAGCCCCAAAGGGACACAAAAAGGUGAUUAAGUGCCUAGUAAUUCACACAAAACAACUGCUAAGAGCAACUAAUUAAGAACUUUAAAAGAGUAACCAUGACUCCUGUGAACCUUGUUGCUUAAUUAGGGCUUUAUGAACAGCUCCAGUUAAUGGAACUAUCAAUAUACUCUUGGAAAAUAAUUUCACUGGAUUAAUAAAUUCACUUAAUAGUUAAAAAUCUCUGCUUUGCAACAUCUUUUUACUUCUAUUUAGGAACACUUUUAAUGAGCCAACCUGCUGGGUCAUAAAUUUGUCAAUUAAGUAGCCUAAGGCUUGGUUCAAAGGAGUCCCUGCCUCAAGUUUGGCCUUCCUUGUCCUCGAGUAAAGGCCCUUUGUGGUGUGAGAAUGGGGUGUGCUGCUUCUUAAGGCUACUCCUUCGGAAAGGGAUGAUAAAAUGGGCUUUGGAAUUUAUUAUCUUAGUUUAGAAUAGUUUUAGAUUUAUAGAAAAGUUGGGAAGAUAGGUACAAAGAGUUCCCAUAUACACCAUACCCAGUUUCCCCUAAUAAGUAACACUUGACAUUAGUAUGUUACAGUUAUCACAAUUAAUAGGCUAAUAGUGAUACAUUAGUAUUAAGUAAAGUCCACACUUUGUUCAGAUUUCCUUACUUUUUGCCUAAUUAAUAUUCUUUGUCUGUUCCAGGAUCUCAUAGAAGACACCAUGUUACAUUUAGUCAUGUCUUCUUAGGCUUCUCUUGGCUGUGACAGCUUCUUAUACUUUAAUGUUUUUAAUUACAUUGACAGUUUUGAGAAGACCUGUUCAGGUAUUCUGUAGAAUGUUCCUCAGUUGGGAUUAAGUUUUGUUCACGGGUUUAUGGGUUUUGGGGAGGAAGACCACCAAGGUGAAGUACCACUCUUAUCACAUAUCAAGGGUAUAUUACUAUCAGUGUGACUUAUUACUGUUGAUGUUAACCGUGAUCGCCUGGCCUAGGUCUUAUUUGCCAGGUUUCUCCACUAGUUAGUAUUUUCUCCCCUCUUCCAUACUGUGUUCUUUGAAGUGAAGUCACUAGGUACACCCUAAAGGAAGGAAUGAGGAGUUGUACUCUACUUAAAGGCAGAGUAUCUACAUGAGUUAAUUGGAAUUAUUCUGAAAGAAAUUUGUUUCUUCAAUUUAUUUAUACUUCUGUAGACUCGUGGAUAUUUAUUUUAUACUUUGGAUAAUAAUCCAAUAAUAACUUUAUUUUGUUCAGAGUAUUCCAGCUUUGACCAUUGAGUUGGACCUUUGGGGAUAUCUUCAUAAAUAUCUUAUGUCCCUUUGACAUACUGUAAUGUUGUUUUUUUUUUUUUCAAUUAUUAUUUAUAGAAUACUUCCUCACUUUCUGGCACUAUAAGAUACUCUAGGUUCACUCUAAUAUGUUUUCUACCCCAGUCUCAGAAUCAACCAUUUCUCCAAGGUUCUAUUUAUUGGAGAGUGGUAUUAGGGAACCAAGAUCUUUUCUGUUAUCUUAGUAGAUGGGUCUCGCUCUUGCUCAGGCUCCUCUCCGAACUCCUGAGCUCAAGUGGAACUCCUGAGCUCAAGUGAUCCUCCUGCCUCCGCCUCCCAGAGUGCUAGGAUUAUAGGCAUGAGCCACCGUGCCCAGCCUUAGAUAUAAUCUUGAUAGUGAAAUGUUCUGUCAGCUGACAGGACAAAGAAAUAUGUAUAUGUGUGUCCUGAGUUCAUUGCCACCUAUAUUUUUUAAACUUUUUUUUAAGAGAU